AGAGAUGCACUGGGUUUAAAGGGUGCGCAGGCGGUUUUGUAAGACAGAGGUGAAAUCCCCGGGCUCAACCUGGGAACUGCCUUUGUGACUGCAAGGCUGGAGUGCGGCAGAGGGGGAUGGAAUUCCGCGUGUAGCAGUGAAAUGCGUAGAUAUGCGGAGGAACACCGAUGGCGAAGGCAAUCCCCUGGGCUUGCACUGACGCUCAUGCACGAAAGCGGGGGGAGCAAACA
rnacentral:rRNA from 1 species